CUGAAGCAAAGUUCUUAACCUGAAGCACUAUUUCUGGGUUAGCGGCGUCUGUAACCUGAAGUGUAUGUAGCCUGAAGCGUAUGUAACCUGAAGUACCACUGUAGUACGAAAUUCUGUUCUAAGUAUUUGUGGAGCUUUGGUUCAAGUAAACUGAUUUUAUAGAAAUGGUAGGUUUCUGUUUAGCAGCCCUUAAUCCAAUUGUUACAUUCCUUUCCACAGGAAAGGGAAUCUGCAGCUCAACAGUGACUCUGCAAGCCCUCAGGUGAUGUUUUUCAGAGUACCUGCUUCAAGAUUUGCAAGUUACAAUUACCCUUUAUUUCCCCGGCUUCCCCUCCAUACAAAGCCUUUCAGACAGUGGCUGUCCUGGGUGAUUAUCACUGUUUAUUGUGGCACUUAAGUCAAAACUUUUCUCCCUCCCCAGAUUUAUCUGAAACCUGUCUAUCAGUUGGUUUACCUUGAGCUAAACCUCAUCUCCCCAUAUCUUUACUUCUAACAUCUCAUGUGUUAUGCGUGUCACACAAUGUGGCAUAAAAGCACAAAGCAAACUUUCUGACUCCCUUGAUGUAACUUAGGUGGUUUUAGAUGUGCGAGCGCAUAAGCUCGCGGAUCGGUGUUUCUUAGGGACGGCUCUAACCAUGUUAUUGCACUUUGAGAAAGGAGUAAAUAUUGUUUCUCGUUUGAAUUCUAACGUGCGGGGAGAGAAGCAUUGGUACUACAUAGGCGGAAAGAUAACAAAGGUCCAAUUUUCUUUUUUUUCUUUUUUAAAAUAAAUUUUAUUAGUAUUUUCCACACAACAACAACAACACGAAAAACAAUACACAACACACAAAAACCAACAUUAG